GUUGUGAUUUUCAGCAUUCAAAGGGAAUCCUUGUUAGUUGUGAAGCUUCCCUACACUCUUAUUUUCUUUCGAUCUUUCCAUUUUCCCCAUAUUUAAAGUAAACUCCCCCAUAUUUAUUGUCUUCCGAGAAAUGAUUGAUAGAGGCUUAUUGAAUGGUUUAUAGAAGGUGCACUGAAGCAUGUUAAGUUGCAGCAUGGGGCAGACAAAAAUUGAACUUCUCCGGCACAGCUCUUUGCAACUGAAUGCUACAAGAGGUAGCAUUUCAGGGGCCAAAUCCAAAUUGUUGAGGGGGAUUCUUAUUUGUACAAAUGAUACUUCGAAUUGGAACGAGCACGAAGGAAUUAACGAUACUUCAUCUUUUGAGUUGUUCUACUAGAUCGGUCGCACAAGACCUUUGGUCUCUGCCCGGACUUGAUGAAAAAAAUGGGAUCACUUCUUAUGAACUUGUUGAGAAUGAUUCUGAUCUAGUUCAUGACCUAUUAGAAGUAGAAGGCGUUCUGGUCGGAUCCUCAUAGACAAACAAAAGGUCGUAGUCAGUUUGAUAAUGAUCGAGUGACAUUGUUUCUUCGGUUCGAACAAAGGAAUUCUUUAAAUAUGAUUUAAAAUAGAUCUUGUUUUAUCGUUGAUCAGAAAUUUCUCUAUGGAAAAUAUGGCGCUUUCUUCUUUUCAUGCUCUGCC